UCCCAAGAUGGGUGCCACCCUUCCAGACUCC
rnacentral:piRNA from 1 species